UACGUAGGGAGCGAGCGUUAUCCGGAUUUAUUGGGUGUAAAGGGUGCGUAGGCGGCCAGAUAGGUCUAUGGUUUAAGCCCGAAGCUUAACUUCGGUUCGCCAUAGAAACCGUUUGGCUUGAGUAUGGUAGAGGCAAGUGGAAUUUCUAGUGUAGCGGUAAAAUGCGUAGAUAUUAGAAGGAACACCAGUGGCGAAGGCGACUUGCUGGGCCAUUACUGACGCUGAGGCACGAAAGCGUGGGGAGCAAAUAG
rnacentral:rRNA from 1 species